GUUCUUGUAGUUGAAUACAACGAUGGUUUUUCAGACCGUAAGUCUUGGUUAAAGUCUGGGCAAGAAUU
rnacentral:tRNA from 1 species